CGGAACACGUACGCAACCUACCCAUAACUGAGGGAAUAGUCCGGGGAAACCCGGAUUAAUACUUCGUAACAUAAUGAGAUGGCAUCAUUUUAUUAUUAUAGCUCCGGCGGUUAUGGAUGGGCGUGCGCCUGAUUAGGUAGUUGGCGGAGUAAUAGCCCACCAAGCCUACGAUCAGUAACUGGUGUGAGAGCACGACCAGUCACACGGGCACUGAGACACGGGCCCG
rnacentral:rRNA from 1 species